CCUACGGGAGGCAGCAGUGAGGAAUAUUGGUCAAUGGGCGCGAGCCUGAACCAGCCAAGUCGCGUGAGGGAAGACGGUCCUAUGGAUUUUAAACCUCGUUUGUCGGGGAGCAAAAGACGCCACGCGUGGCUUUCCGAGAGUACCCUAAGAAAAAGCAUCGGCUAACUCCGUGCCAGCAGCCGCGGUAAUACGGAGGAUGCGAGCGUUAUCCGGAUUUAUUGGGUUUAAAGGGUGCGUAGGCGGUCGGAUAAGUUAGAGGUGAAAUCCCGAGGCUCAACUUGGGAAUUGCGUCUGAUACUGUUAGGCUAGAGAGUAGUUGCGGUAGGUGGAAUGUAUGGUGUAGCGGUGAAAUGCUUAGAGAUAAGACAGAACACCGAUUGCGAAGGCAGCUUACCAAGCUACAUCUGACGUUGAGGCACGAAAGCGUGGGGAGCAAACAGGAUUAGAUACCCUUGUAGUC
rnacentral:rRNA from 1 species